rnacentral:rRNA from 1 species
UCCUUUUGUAAAAUAUUUAAGGUCUAACCUGCCCUCUGAGUAAUCUUGAAUGGCCGCGGUAUUUUGACCGUGCUAAGGUAGCAUAAUCAUUAGUUUUUUAAUUGAAAGCUGGAAUGAAAGGUUGAAUGAAAAAAUUACUGUCUCUAUUUAAAUUUUAUAGAAUUUUAUUUUUAAGUUAAAAAGCUUAAAUUUAUUUGAAAGACGAGAAGACCCUAUAGAGUUUAAUAAAUAAAUAAAUUUAAAAAUUUAGAAUUUAAUAAUAAAUUUAUUUAUUUUUUUAAUUGGGGUGAUUUAAAAAUUUAAUUAACUUUUUUUAUGUUAAUAAUAUAAAUAUAUAAAUUUAUGAUCCAAUAUUUUUGAUUAUAAGAAAAAAUUACCUUAGGGAUAACAGCGUAAUUUUAUUAGAGAGUUCAAAUCGAUAAUA